AGGUAUAAAUGUAUGUGAUGAAAUGCCUCAGUCAGAGCUCUAUCUCUCUCUCUGAGGACGUUAAAUAACUUUUAACCGUAUUUCUUGCAAUCUUUCCUCAGCUUCAUAACUUCCCACCGUUUUAAAUGGGUUCUGAGAAACGACCAUUUAAUAGAUUUACGGUCCAAAGCUCAGAACCAGAGCAGAUCUUUGAGCAGAAGGUCUUCCUGGGUUUGCUGCUGCCUUCAUGCACUGAUCUACCAAAGGUUCUGGGUCCCAGAACCGAAUCCAAGACGUUCCGUCACUUCCGUCGCUGCGUGAAGAUGGUUCGGUGGGCAGGAACCCGUCUGAUUGUGUGCAUCACCUCAGAAUGAGAUGUCAGUCCAGCUGGAUGUAUCUAUGGAUGAUGAGGUCCACCUAGAAGAACAGAGAGGAUGAUUAAACAAAUGUAAGUUGAUCCUUCGUCUCCUUGGAGACUAGGUUUGGGUAAAGAAUGAAGAGGCUUCAGAGAGAGGAAGAAAACCUGGAUGUUAAAGAUGGACGACAGGAUCCCUUCCAAACCGCCAUGGGACAUCACUGGAUCAACCUGAAGAAGGUUUGGGAGGAUGGAGGGUCCUGAAGGUCUCAGCAUGUUCCAGUUGUCACAUCUGUUUGUGAGGCUGUGAAUGAUUCUGUAGGAUGUCUGAGCAGAGAACCAUUUCCCCCCGUUAGCAGGAUUGAAUUAUGUCAAAUCAUCAAACGGCUGAGUUUCCUCCUCAGAGUCCUGCUAAUGACCUUAUGAUUGGAUUCUGGCGCGUUGAAGCAGAGACACAUCUGAGCCGUGCAGGACACCGGACCUCUGAGACUGGAAUUAAACGACCCUGAUGGCUCCACAUCUGAUGAGCUUGGUUCACUGCCCACCAGUCCGUUCCACAACGCCAGGGUUGGAAUCAUCCGCUUGGUUAAAGGAAAAGUCGCUCAUAUUCAUCAAACAUCUGAAAGUUCUUUAAAUCUGAAAUGAUUCCAUCCUGUUCAAUAAAUGAUCAGUGUUUUUAAUUCAGA